rnacentral:misc_RNA from 1 species
GUUUGGAUGACUCGCAAGAUGAAUAUGAAGGGAAUAAAGAUGCUGCACGUGCACUGAUGCGUGUCAAGCAAAAACUAGAUGGAUAUGAAGAAGGUGAAUUGAGAAGUGUACAUGGACAGGUUCAACAGCUCAUACAAGAUGCUAUUGAUCCAGAGCGCUUAUGUCAAAUGUUUGCUGGAUGGGGAGCUUGGAUGUAAAUAUGAUAGCGUCUUGCCCAAUCAUAUUGCACAGGCGGUUUUUCAGUUGUGCAUAAAAUCUGAGACUAUAUGUAUUGGGCGUGAUUUAGUGGGUGUAUAAUAACAUUUUGAAGAGGUAAACCACGCCCAAUAC